rnacentral:lncRNA from 1 species
AGUGGUAUGCCUUUCCUCCCAUCAAUCACCAUUAAACCUUUUUCACCAAACCCUAAACUCUCUCUCUCCCCACUACAAAAACUCUAAAACUCACUUCAACUACUUUUUCUUAACUCAUUAUACUUCAUCUCUUUCACACAUACACACAGAUACUCAAUUGCUACACAAUCCAAACCUCAAUCUUCAUCAAAACAAAAAAUAAAACCACAAUAAACCUUCAUAACCAUACCACCC